rnacentral:rRNA from 1 species
CAGUAGCCGCGGUAAAACGGAGGGUGCAAGCGUUAAUCGGAAUUACUGGGCGUAAAGCGCACGCAGGCGGUUUGUUAAGUCAGAUGUGAAAUCCCCGAGCUUAACUUGGGAACUGCAUUUGAAACUGGCAAGCUAGAGUCUUGUAGAGGGGGGUAGAAUUCCAGGUGUAGCGGUGAAAUGCGUAGAGAUCUGGAGGAAUACCGGUGGCGAAGGCGGCCCCCUGGACAAAGACUGACGCUCAGGUGCGAAAGCGUGGGGAGCAAACAGGAUUAGAUACCCGAGUAGUCCCUGUCUCUUAUAC